AUGGCCUCGGCUACUCCGGCAGGCGACGAUGGCCAGGGCGAUGCGAGCGGCGGCGACCUCCCCCGCUUAGGCCUCGAUGGGAGUGGUUGCUACUCCAGCUCGGAGUACAGUAGCGAGGACGAAGAUUUUGCGGAGCCGGCGUUGUCGAUGGAGCAGAGGCUGAAGAUGGCGCGAAUUUGGUUGGCCAACCCUAGCACCGCCCAUCAGUGGACUCAUGGCAUCGGUGGUGUUCUUUUGUAUGAUGACAUUUUGGAUGUUAGGUUCUAUUUUGAUGCUUCAGAAAUGUUUGAGUUGAAGCUCUGCAGUUCAGAUGUAACAUACCUGAAUAUGAUUGCAGUGAUGGAAAUCCAAGGAUUUAGUGAAUAUGAUCUGCUGUUUCACAUUGAGAAUCCACAAUUAGGGGAGAAAGGAUUGGAGAUGGUAGAGUGUAAUGCUGAGUUGCAAUUAGUAAAGAAGCAGGUUGAGGAGUCUAAGGUCUUAAAUUUGCUAGUGAGGGCAUGUCCACCUCCUUGCAGCCAGUUUGAGAGGCAAGAAUUAUCCACUGUUGUGUAUGAAGAGCCUGUGUUAUAUGAUCUCAAUGAGGCACCCAUCUAUGCUGUUAAUGAAGAAGGAGUUGCAUUUGAAAGUCAGAGUAGUAGCUACAGUGUAGCUCAUGGUACUGGUCUUUGCACACAAGAGAGCAAGAAUGUAAAAGGAAAAAUGAAAGCUGUUAUGGAAAUAGAAGAAGAAGAGGGAUAUGUUGGCAGUGGUGGUUCUGAUUGUGAAGGUGAAGAGGACAUUGAUGUACCACCUUUUUAUAUGGGUGAUGCUGAUGACAUAGAGAUGGCUGAGGGAAAGAAACAGAAAGAGUAUGAUGAAAUGGAAGAGGAAGAAACAGAUGAUGAAGAAUCUGAGGAGGAAGAAGUUGUGCAUUAUGAGGGUGACACAGAGGUUGAGGAACCUUUUCAAAUGGAUGAAGAUGACAAAGUUGUUUCACAGGAUGUAGAAACUGUAAUUGUACAUGAAGAGAAGAAGAAGAAGAAACAGAAGCUUCCAGUUAGGAGAGGGCCUACAACAAGGUCACAUUCAAGUGUAGUAUCAGAGGAGGACCCUGAUUUCAAACCUUCAUCUGAUGAAGAAGAGAAAGGAUUGUUGAAGGAGGCUGAUGAUGAUGGUUUUGAGCCAUUGUCAUUUGUGCUGCCAAAGAAAAGGAAAAGCAGGGCAAAGCAAAGGCCUCCUAGAAAAUGGUACAAUGAGAAAAUGGAUGCACCACAUGAGCAAUUAUGUCUACACAUGUGUUUCUUGGAUCAACAUCAAUUCAGAGAGGCUUUGUUGAACCUACACAUCACUCAAGAAAGAAACUUCAGAUAUCAUAGGAACUCAGAUCAAAGAAUAAUUGUAGAAUGCAACCAAAAAAAUUGCAACUUCUUUAUGGUGGCAGCAGUUAUAAAAGGUGAAACUACUUUUGUAAUUAAGAAGAUGAGAAUUAAGCACACUUGCCCUACUAGUACAGAGACAACAAGGGUAAGUGCCAAGUGGCUUGCACAGAAGUAUGAGUCACUGUUCAGAUCUGAUCUAACAACUGGCAUUCAGACUUUGGUUGAUGCUUGCAUGGAGAAGUAUGGUGUGGAUGUGCCCAAGUCAAUGGCAUAUAGAGCAAAGAACAUAGCUAUUGAUGUUGUGCUAGGAGACCACAAGAAGCAAUACCCUAGGUUGAAAGACUAUGCUCAGGCAGUGAUGGAUACAAACCCUGGGAGUAGAGUAGUAGUCACUACUGUAACUCCAACACCCACUGAAAAAAUCCCUCAUCUAGGUCCAAGAUUCCAUGCUAUGUUCUAUUGCAUCAAUGGAGCAAGGGAGGGGUUUCUCAAGGGGUGCAGACCAUCCAUUGUGAAUGCUGUCUUUCCUAAGUGCAACCAAAGGUUCUGCCUUAGGCAUAUCUAUGCAAACUUCCAAAAUGCUGGGUUUAGGGGGGAAGAUCUGAAGAAGUGUAUGGAUAAUGUUGCCUAUGCAUAUAGUGAACACAAAUUUAACAUUGCAAUGAAUGACCUUAGAGCUGAAUGUCAGGAAGCUUGGGAGUGGCUUUGUCAAAUACCCAAGAAAACAUGGGCAAGGCAUGCAUUUGACACAAACUGCAAGACUGACCUUGUAGUUAACAAUUUGUCUGAGGUGUUCAACAAGUAUGUCCUAGAUGUUAGGAAGAAACCAAUUAGGACAAUGUGUGAUGGAAUAAAGGUUAAACAGAUGAUGAGGUGGCAUAGGAAUAGGGAGAGUGCAAAGACAGCUAGAUGGGACAUAACACCCCAUUAUAGUGAGAAGCUAGAGGUUGAGAAGGAGAGGGCCAAAUAUUGCAAACCAAUUCAAGCUGGUGUGAACUUGUGGCAGGUUACAAGUGGGCAGCAAACCCAUGCUGUUGACUUGCAAGUGCACACAUGUGGGUGCAGAAAAUGGGACCUCAGUGGCAUCCCAUCUUAUGAACCAAUGAUCUAUCCAGUUCCUGGUGAGCAUGACUGGACAAAGACCCCUGGUCCAGACAUUGACCCACCUGCAUUUAAAGUGAAGAGAGAAAGAAAGAAAGAGAAGAUGAUCAAGGGGAAAUUUGAAGUUCCAAAGCCUAAGAACACAUCAAGAAUGGGGACUAUAACAUGUGGCAAUUGUGGACUGCAAGGACAUAGGUACACAAGCUGCCUCAAGCAGUUGAAGCCUGAGCUGGCUUUGAGGAAGAACAAACAUGUGCCUCUUGCAAGGAAUUCCAAUGGUGGUGGUGCUGCUACUACACCAGCAACAACAACCUCUCAUGCAGCUCCUACAACAACACCAACAGCUGGGAGAGGAGCUGGGAGAGGAGCUGGGAGAGGAGCUGGGAGAGGUGCUGCAGCAGCUCAAGCUGCUGGAAGAGGUGCUGUGAGAGGUGCUGCACCAGGUGCUGCAAGAGGUGUUGGGAGAGGGAGAGGUGCAUUCUCUGCCCCAAGACAAUUUGGUCCCUCCACAUCUACUGCUCCCUCCACAUCUGUUGCUGGGAGAGGUGCUGGUGGUAGACAUACUGGAUGGGGGAGGUACUUCUAUGCAAGUGGUAACUAG
rnacentral:rRNA from 1 species